UCGUGGCAUGAGUCGUCAUUUUAGUAUGUUAAUUCGGGUAACGAGCGAGACCUCCGUGGGGAUGUUUAUGUAAUGUUGGCAUUGAAACUUUUAGAGUUCUUUGCUCACCCCAGACACGAACGUCGAAAAGACAUGGGAAGUGGGAGGCUAUAACA
rnacentral:rRNA from 1 species